UCUGCGUAGGUUGUUAAAUGGCGAGCAUGGCACGGACGCCGAGCUAGAUUAAAAUUUGGUGCGUGCGACAUUGCCGGCUGUAGCGGCUCGGGCAGUAUAUGCCCAUAAUGGUGCCGCGGACCGAAAUGCUGAGUUCGAAUCCUCUCGUCUCAGGGUCGACAAGAAGCAUAUCCUUGAAGGUGCUCUGGAUGAGCCGUGUGCAUCGGUUUGCUGGAUAUGGCAUCUCGCGCGCGCAC
rnacentral:misc_RNA from 1 species